GNUAGCCAUGCGAGUCGAGAGGGUUCGGCCCUCGGCUGACGGCUCAGUAACACGUGNGANAAUCUACCCUAAGGUGGAGGAUAACCUCGGGAAACUGAGAAUAAUACUCCAUAGGUCUAGGAUGCUGGAAUGCACUUAGGCUGAAAACUUCGGUGCCCUAGGAUGAGUCUGCGGACUAUCAGGUUGUAGUCAGGGUAAAGACCUGACUAGCCUACGACGGAUACGGGUUGUGAGAGCAAUAACCCGGAGAUGAUAUCUGAGACACGAUAUCAGGCCCUACGGGGCGCAGCAGGCGCGAAAACUUUACAAUGCGCGAAAGCGCGAUGAGGGGAUCCCAAGUGCUUGCACGUAAGUGUAAGCUGUUUUUCUGUCUAAAAAGCAGAGAGAGUAAGGGCUGGGUAAGACGGGUGCCAGCCGCCGCGGUAAUACCUGCAGCUCAAGUGGUGGCCGCUAUUAUUGGGCCUAAAACGUCCGUAGCCGGCUGAGUAAAUGCCUGGGUAAAUCGUGUGGCUUAACCAUACGAAUUCCGGGUAGACUGCUCAGCUUGGGACCGGAAGAAGUUAGAGGUACUCCUGGGGUAGGGGUGAAAUCCUGUAAUCCUGGGGGGACCACCAGUGGCGAAGGCGUCUAACUAGGACGGGUCUGACGGUGAGGGACGAAGCCCUGGGGCGCAAACCGGAUUAGAUACCCGGGUAGUCCAGGGUGUAAACGCUGCUUGCUUGAUGUUAGCUGGGCUCCGAGCUCGGCUAGUGUCGGAGAGAAGUUGUUAAGCAAGCUGCCUGGGAAGUACGGUCGCAAGACUGAAACUUAAAGGAAUUGGCGGGGGGAGCACAAGGGCG
rnacentral:rRNA from 1 species